GCCUGGGUGGCUCAGUCAGUUGAGCUUUUGACUUCAGCUCAGGUCGUGAUCUCGCGGUCUGUGGGUUCAAACCCCACAUCGGGCU
rnacentral:tRNA from 1 species